UAGGAGAAGAGGGAGAGAGAAAAUUCGCAGCUAGGCUAAACUAAGAGGAAGUUUUUGUGUGAUUUCUUCAAUUAGAUUAAUCAGCUAGUGGUGGAAUCGAGAGCUGAACUAGGGAGGAAUUCGCCAAUCAUAUUAAUGUCGUCAUUGAGAUCAAAGGUAAGUGAAAUUUGACUCUCACCAUUAAGUAGAAUUUAUCUCCUAAAUUCUUUGAGAUAUUUUUGGGAAGAAAUGAGUUGAUCCGGGAAAAGGAAAAUUUUCUUGAAAUCAUAUUAAAACCAAGAGUAAAAACAAAAAAAAUGGAGACUGAGAUAUAAGGAUACAUAGAAGAUCAGACAAAAUGAUGGAAUUAUUGUGCGGACAGCUAUGAGGAGAGGACAGAGGAGAUACGCUAGAAACAUAGGAGGAAAAUUGAAAGGAUGGGAACAGGAGAGGGAUAGGAAAUAAAAAAAGAGAGAAAUAGUGGUCUGAAUCUGAUGUCUGUUUGCA
rnacentral:lncRNA from 1 species